AACGCGAAGAACCUUACCUGGGCUCGAAAUGGAGUGGACCGGGGUGGAAACAUCCCUUCCCCGCAAGGGGCUGCUCUAUAGGUGCUGCAUGGCUGUCGUCAGCUCGUGUCGUGAGAUGUUGGGUUAAGUCCCGCAACGAGCGCAACCCUUAUUACCAGUUGCCAUCAUUCAGUUGGGCACUCCGGUGAGACCGCCUCGGAUAACGGGGAGGAAGGCGGGGAUGACGUCAAGUCCUCAUGGCCUUUAUGUCCAGGGCUACACACGUGCUACAAUGGUCGAUACAGAAGGAAGCCAAGCCGCGAGGCGGAGCCGAUCCUAGAAAAUCGAUCUCAGUUCAGAUUGCAGUCUGCAACUCGACUGCAUGAAGUUGGAAUUGCUAGUAAUGGCGUAUCAGCUACAACGCCGUGAAUACGUUCCCGGGCCUUGUACACACCGACUGUAC
rnacentral:rRNA from 1 species